rnacentral:tRNA from 1 species
GCCGAAGUGGUGGAACUGGUAGACACGCAGCGUUCAGGACGCUGUGAGCUAAAAGCUCGUGGGAGUUCGACUCUCCCCUUCGGCACCA